GGUGUGUGUGUGUGAUUUUCUUUUAAUAAAAAGGGAAUGAGUUAUGGGCUAGGGUUUUAGUAUUGGACCAUUAAAAUUUUGGGCUUGUUUGUUAUUUUGGGCCUAUAUUAUGAUUUAAGAUGGGUUUGAUUUAAUACAAGAAUUGGGCUGCAUUUUUAUUUUAGAUGUUGGGUUGAUUUAAUUUUUGUUAAAUCAUGCUUUACUUAAAAUUAUUUAGUUAAGAUCCUAAUCAAUUGAUAUAUUAAUAUGACUAUUUAUUCUAUUAAGUGUAAUUAUUUACCUUAUGUGAUUUUGAGAUAUAAUAUGAAUUUGCAUAGUGAAUAAUGCAAUAAAAAUAUUUUGAUAAUUUCGAUUUUUAAGAUUUUCAAUUGAGUUUUGAAAAUCCGGGCGCAGAAUAUUAAGAUUUAGCAGCUUUGUAGAAUUGUUAGCUCGUACGAUAUUUUGCGACCUAUUAAGAUUAGAUUAUCUUGUAGGUCCACUUGUUAGAAGGUUUUAGCACUGGUUUUACAAGAAGAGAAUUGUGCAAAUUUUAUCUACAGGCUUGUCCUAUCGAGGUUGAGCGGCAGGUGGUGUUGUGCGAGGCUGAGGGAGGAUGUUGCUGUAGUUCCAUAUAAUAAUUUCCGCUGCCAUAAUAUUCACUUAGGUGGAUAUCUUUUGAGAUUGACUCUUUAAAUAUUCUUAGCCUAAUUAUUAUGAACCCUUUUGGCAAUCGCAUUCUAGCAAUUGAACCUCGCAUAUAUGUAUGUCUAGUAUGAAGUCUUAUCUUGUUGUCUCAGACCUCCGAACUUUUGAUCCUAGUUGGGAAAAUUUCUAUCUUAAUUGUUCUAUUUAUUAUC